rnacentral:rRNA from 1 species
GCCCUGGCUGGGCGGUCCACCAUUGGAUGGCACUGCUCUGGCUGGGGCUCACCUCCUGGUGAACCAGCAUGCCCUUCGCUGGGUGUGCUGGGGAACCAGGACUUUUACUUUGAAAAAAUUAGAGUGUUUAAAGCAGGCCUAUGCUUGAAUACAUUAGCAUGGAAUAAUAGAAUAGGACUUCGGUUCUAUUUUGUUGGUUUCUAGGACCGAAGUA